AGCAGCCGCGGUAAUUCCAGCUCCAAUAGCGUAUAUUAAAGUUGUUGCAGUUAAAAAGCUCGUAGUUGAAUCUCGGGGUUAGUAGGUUGGUCGUGCCAAUGGUAUGCACUGGCCUCACUGAUUCCUCCUUCUUGGUGAACCUUAAUGCCAUUAAUUUGGUGUUUUGGGGAAUCUGGACUGUUACUUUGAAAAAAUUAGAGUGUUUAAAGCAAGCUAACGCUUGAAUACAUUAGCAUGGAAUAAUGAAAUAGGACGUUCGGUCUUAUUUUGUUGGUUUCUAAGAUUGACGUAAUGAUUAAUAGGGAUAGUUAGGGGCAUUAGUAUUCAAUUGUCAGAGGUGAAAUUCUUGGAUUUAUUGAAGACUAACUACUGCGAAAGCAUUUGCCAAGGAUGUUUUCAUUAAUCAAGAACGAAAGUUAGGGGAUCGAGACGAUCAGAUACCGUCGUAGUCUUAACCAUAAACUAUGCCGACUAGGGAUCGGAUGAUGUUAAUUUUUAAUGACUCAUUCGGCNCCUUACG
rnacentral:rRNA from 1 species